UACGUAGGGUGCAAGCGUUGUCCGGAAUUAUUGGGCGUAAAGAGCUCGUAGGCGGUUUGUCGCGUCUGCUGUGAAAACUCGGGGCUUAACCCCGGGCCUGCAGUGGGUACGGGCAGACUAGAGUGCGGUAGGGGAGACUGGAAUUCCUGGUGUAGCGGUGAAAUGCGCAGAUAUCAGGAGGAACACCGGUGGCGAAGGUGGGUCUCUGGGCCGUAACUGACGCUGAGGAGCGAAAGCGUGGGGAGCGAACAGG
rnacentral:rRNA from 1 species